AUUCCCCUAGUAACGGCGAGUGAAGCGGGAUGAGCUCAAAUUUAAAAUCUGGCUGGUUUACUAGUCCGAAUUGUAGUUUAUAGAAGCGUUUUCGGUGGCAGCCUGGGUAUAAAUCCUUUGGAAUAGGGUAUCAUAGAGGGUGAGAAUCCCGUCUUUGACUCAGUGCAUGCUACUAUGUGAUACGUUUUCAAAGAGUCGAGUUGUUUGGGAAUGCAGCUCAAAAUGGGUGGUAAAUUUCAUCUAAGGCUAAAUAUUGGCGAGAGACCGAUAGCGAACAAGUACCGUGAGGGAAAGAUGAAAAGAACUUUGAAAAGAGAGUUAAACAGUGCGUGAAAUUGUUGAAAGGGAAACGUUUGACACCAGUUAUGCGGGUGGAAAAUCAGUCUUUUGCAGUGGGGAGUUGUGGGCGUUCAGACCGCAAGGCUGGCGUUUGCUUCAUCUUUGCUGUAAGUGAUGCACUUUUUCAUUUGCAGGUCAACAUCAGUUUGCUUUGCUGGACAAAACCCCAAGGGAAGGUGGCAGCUUAGGCUGUGUUAUAGCCCUGGGGCGAUACAGUGGAGUGGACUGAGGUUUUCGCAGUGUGUGCUCUCGGGCAAGGCUGACUGGGUGCUAUGGGAUCGUUCGGUGUACAAUGCAUGCAUUUUGCGCCGUGUCUUUUUCAUACUCGCUCAACUCGGCUCUUCCACACUUAGGAUGUUGACUUAAUGGUUUUAAACGACCCGUCUUGAAACACGGACCAAGGAGUCUAACAUAUAUGCAAGUGUUUGGGUGGCAAACCCAUGCGCGUAAUGAAAGUGAACGUAGGUGCGAUCCGCAAGGUGCAGCAUCGACCGAUCUUGAUAUUUUUGGAUAGAUUUGAGUAAGAGCAUAUAUGCUGGGACCCGAAAGAUGGUGAACUAUGCCUGAAUAGGGUGAAGCCAGAGGAAACUCUGGUGGAGGCUCGUAGCGAUUCUGACGUGCAAAUCGAUCGUCAAAUUUGGGUAUAGGGGCGAAAGACUAAUCGAA
rnacentral:rRNA from 1 species